UACGUAGGGGGCAAGCGUUGUCCGGAUUUAUUGGGCGUAAAGAGCGUGUAGGCGGCCAAACAGGUCCACUGUGAAAACUCGAGGCUCAACCUCGAGAGGUCGGUGGAAACCGUCUGGCUAGAGUCCGGAAGAGGAGAGUGGAAUUCCCGGUGUAGCGGUGAAAUGCGCAGAUAUCGGGAAGAACACCCGUGGCGAAGGCGGCUCUCGUGGGACGGUAC
rnacentral:rRNA from 1 species